CAGGUACAUGAUAAAGUGAAUCUUGUCACAUUGCAAACCAUCUGAUCUUUAGUAUGAAGGUACCCCUUCAAGAAAAGUAGAUGUCUCUUCCCGGGGUGUGACCUUGGAGUUCUGCAAGUUAAUGUCAAGGCCUCACAGUGAGUUCAUCAGUGAUCGUUAAUGUGGGACAUUGCUGGUAUGGAGGUAAGUGAUCCUGUGGGUCAAAACCACAGCACAUACCAUCUGGCUGUCAUAUACCUAGGUAAGUGAUGGGUGGCCUUACACUUCUUGUUACCAUGAAUUUUUUUUGAAGGUAUGAGGUAAGAAAUGCUAGAGUCCUCACCAAUUCCAGAGACAUGUUUCUCCACUUUCUAUAUUUCUGGAAAUGUUCAUUUUUAACCCUAUGAGUGUUGAGGGACUGCAUGUAUGCAGGUAUUUAUCAUGAUAUUCCCUGUGAUAGUACUAUCCAUAGGGUAUUUACAGGUGACCAGACAUCGAAUGACAGUUUUAUCUGUGUUAACUUUAGAUUAUUGUAAGUAUCCAGUAAAGUUGAUGUAUCUCAUAAUGAUGAACUAAACAAUGUUAUUUGCAGGUUUCCUGAUAGGAAAA